rnacentral:tRNA from 1 species
ACAGUGGUGGCUCAGUGGUAGAAUUUUUGCCUCCCAUGUGGGAGACCUGGGUUCAAUUCCCAGCCAGUGCA